rnacentral:rRNA from 1 species
UAGUGACCGAUAGUGAACCAGUACCGUGAGGGAAAGGUGAAAAGUACCCCGGAAGGGGAGUGAAAGAGAACUUGAAACCGUGCGCUUACAAGUAGUCAGAGCCCGUUAAUGGGUGAUGGAGUGCCUUGUGUAGAAUGAACCGGCGAGUUACAAUCUGAUGCAAGGUUCCGCAGAACAUGUGGAGCCGUAGCGAAAGCGAGUCUGAAUAGGGCGU